GACGAACGCUGGCGGCGUGCCUAAUACAUGCAAGUAGAACGCUGAAGGAGGAGCUUGCUCUUCUGGAUGAGUUGCGAACGGGUGAGUAACGCGUAGGUAACCUGCCUGGUAGCGGGGGAUAACUAUUGGAAACGAUAGCUAAUACCGCAUAACAGUAGAUGUUGCAUGACAUUUGCUUAAAAGGUGCAAUUGCAUCACUACCAGAUGGACCUGCGUUGUAUUAGCUAGUUGGUGGGGUAACGGCUCACCAAGGCGUCGAUACAUAGCCGACCUGAGAGGGUGAUCGGCCACACUGGGACUGAGACACGGCCCAGACUCCUACGGGAGGCAGCAGUAGGGAAUCUUCGGCAAUGGACGGAAGUCUGACCGAGCAACGCCGCGUGAGUGAAGAAGGUUUUCGGAUCGUAAAGCUCUGUUGUAAGAGAAGAACGAGUGUGAGAGUGGAAAGUUCACACUGUGACGGUAUCUUACCAGAAAGGGACGGCUAACUACGUG
rnacentral:rRNA from 1 species